rnacentral:rRNA from 1 species
CAAGGUUUCCGUAGGUGAAUCUGCGGAAGGAUCAUUA